rnacentral:rRNA from 1 species
CAAUAGCGUAUAUUAAAGUUGUUGCGGUUAAAAAGCUCGUAGUUGGAUUUCUGCUGAGAACGACCGGUCCGCCCUUUGGGUGUGUAUCUGGCUCUUUCUUGGCAUCUUCUUGGUGAACGUUGCUGCACUUGACUGUGUGGAGCGCUACCCAGGACUUUUACUUUGAGGAAAUUAGAGUGUUUCAAGCAGGCAUACGCCUUGAAUACAUUAGCAUGGAAUAAUAAGAUAGGACCUCGGUUCUAUUUUGUUGGUUUCUAGAGCUGAGGUAAUGAUUAAUAGGGAUAGUUGGGGGCAUUCGUAUUUAACUGUCAGAGGUGAAAUUCUUGGAUUUGUUAAAGACGGACUACUGCGNANGCAUUUNCCAAGGAUGUNUUCAUNGA